UCUGGUUGAUCCUGCCAGUAGUCAUAUGCUUGUCUUAAAGAUUAAGCCAUGCAUGUCUAAGUAUAAGCUUUUAUACGGCGAAACUGCGAAUGGCUCAUUAAAACAGUUAUAGUUUAUUUGAUGGUCUUUACUACAUGGAUAACCGUGGUAAUUCUAUGGCUAAUACAUGCGCACAUACCUCUUCCCUCGUGGAAGGGUAGUGUUUAUUAGAUACAGAACCAACCCACCUUCGGGUGGUCCUCAGGUGAUUCAUAGUAACCGAACGGAUCGCAUUAUGACCUUCGGGUCGGCGAUGGAUCAUUCAAGUUUCUGACCUAUCAGCUUUCGACGGUACUGUAUUGGACUACCGUGGCAGUGACGGGUAACGGGGAAUUAGGGUUCGAUUCCGGAGAGGGAGCCUGAGAAACGGCUACCACAUCUAAGGAAGGCAGCAGGCGCGCAAAUUACCCAAUCCUGACUCAGGGAGGUAGUGACAAGAAAUAACAACGCUGGAAAUUCUAUUUCUAGUGAUUGGAAUGAUGGGAAA
rnacentral:rRNA from 1 species